UACGUAGGGGGCAAGCGUUGUCCGGAAUUAUUGGGCGUAAAGAGCGCGUAGGCGGUCCGAUAAGUCGGCUGUGAAAGUCGGGGGCUCAACCCUCGAAUGCCGGUGGAUACUGUCGGGCUAGAGUGCGGAAGAGGCGAGUGGAAUUCCUGGUGUAGCGGUGAAAUGCGUAGAUAUCAGAUAGAACACCAAUGGCGAAGGCAGUUGCCUGGCUCAAAACUGACGCUAAAGCACGAAAGUGUGGGGAGCAAACAGG
rnacentral:rRNA from 1 species